rnacentral:rRNA from 1 species
CGAGGCAGCAGUGGGAAUUUGCACAAUGGCGGAAGCCUGAGCAGCAACGCCGCUGAGGGAUGACGGCUUCGGGUUGUAACCUCUUUUAGCAGGGAAGAAGCGAAAGUGACGGUACCUGCAGAAAAAGCGCCGGCUAACUACGUGCCAGCAGCCGCGGUAAUACGUAGGGCGCAAGCGUUAUCCGGAAUUAUUGGGCGUAAAGAGCUCGUAGGCGGUUUGUCGCGUCUGCUGUGAAAUCCCGAGGCUCAACCUCGGGCCUGCAGUGGGUACGGGCAGACUAGAGUGCGGUAGGGGAGAUUGGAAUUCCUGGUGUAGCGGUGGAAUGCGCAGAUAUCAGGAGGAACACCGAUGGCGAAGGCAGAUCUCUGGGCCGUAACUGACGCUGAGGAGCGAAAGGGUGGGGAGCAAACAGGCUUAGAUACCCUGGUAGUCCACCCCGUAAACGUUGGGAACUAGUUGUGGGGACCAUUCCACGGUUUCCGUGACGCAGCUAACGCAUUAAGUUCCCCGCCUGGGGAGUACGGCCGCAAGGCUAAAACUCAAAGGAAUUGACGGGGACCCGCACAAGCGGCGGAGCAUGCGGAUUAAUUCGAUGCAACGCGAAGAACCUUACCAAGGCUUGACAUAUACGAGAACGGGCCAGAAAUGGUCAACUCUUUGGACACUCGUAAACAGGUGGUGCAUGGUUGUCGUCAGCUCGUGUCGUGAGAUGUUGGGUUAAGUCCCGCAACGAGCGCAACCCUCGUUCUAUGUUGCCAGCACGUAAUGGUGGGAACUCAUGGGAUACUGCCGGGGUCAACUCGGAGGAAGGUGGGGAUGACGUCAAAUCAUCAUGCCCCUUAUGUCUUGGGCUUCACGCAUGCUACAAUGGCCGGUACAAAGGGCUGCAAUACCGUGAGGUGGAGCGAAUCCCAAAAAGCCGGUCCCAGUUCGGAUUGAGGUCUGCAACUCGACCUCAUGAAGUCGGAGUCGCUAGUAAUCGCAGAUCAGCAACGCUGCGGUGAAUACGUUCCCGGGUCUUGUACACACCGCCCGUCAAGUCAUGAAAGUCGGUAACACCUGAAGCCGGUGGCCCAACCCUUGUGGAGGGAGCCGUCGAAAGGUGGGAU